GCCUGGGUAGCUCAGUGGUUGAGCAUCUGCCUUAGGCUCAGGUCAUGAUCCUGGGGUCCUGGGAUUGAGUCCCACAUCAGGCU
rnacentral:tRNA from 1 species